rnacentral:rRNA from 1 species
AUUGAACGCUGGCGGCAGGCCUAACACAUGCAAGUCGAACGAGUGGCGGACGGGUGAGUAAUGUCUGGGAAACUGCCCGAUGGAGGGGGAUAACUACUGUAAACGGUAGCUUAUAUCGCAUACCAUCGGAUGUGCCCAGAUGGGAUUAGCUAGUAGUUGGGGUAACGGCGCACCUGGGCGACGAUCCCUAGCUGGUCUGGGAGGAUGACCAGCCACACUGGAACUGAGACACGGUCCAGACUCCUACGGGAGGCAGCAGUGGGGAAUAUUGCGCAAUGGGCGCAAGCCUGAUGCAGCCAUGCCGCGUGUAUGAAGAAGGCCUUCGGGUUGUAAAGUACUUUCAGCGGGGAGGCGUUACCCGCAGAAGAAGCACCGGCUAACUCCGUGCCAGCAGCCGCGGUAAUAC